AGGGCAAACUGACCUCACUGAUACGCAAGCUUGAUUUCAAAGCAAUUUGAAGUGGUUAAUGGUGUACUAAGACGAUCUCACCAAAUGUUGUGUUCUCUGAGCCCUUACCCCAGCGAGAGCACCAGAAGUGGCAUUUCAGCUUUCUGAUAUCUGUAUCCUACUUCGUGCUCCUGAAAGUGACAAUAAAAUUGAGUUUACUGCUAAAGUCAUCCAAGAACUAAAGCUUUUGUGGUCUUAGCUUAGCUUGUUGCAUGGAAAAGUAAGACAUCCACAAAUUCAGGACUGUUCCAAGUGUGAUAUGAUAUUAAGGAUAUGCUCCUAGUGUGGAUGGCAGACAAUAAUUCAUAGGUCUGGACACUGUGAAUUUGCUUUGUGCUGUUCUUAAAGACAGCUAGCUGUCAUUCUGGAAUAAACUGCAAUCCAUAAGCAGCUCUGUUCAGUUUUGAUCCCAGAUGUGAACUUCCCUCAAACUCUCUACUACCAAGGUUCAUCAGCCACCUCUGGAGCGAGCAAGAUUUGCUUUCAAUGCUCAGCACUCUUUUUAGUUUCUCUGCUGCAUCAACACAUCCAGAAGACACACUAGCCCCUACAUCUUAUGUGGCUACAGGUAGCCAAGCUGAAACUACUGCUGAAGUAAAGGUUAGAGCAGCAGGGCACAGGAGCGCAGUUCAUCAAAACAACCGUACUGCUACUGGUGCAUAAGCUGCCUAGCUUGGGAUGCCGCAGAGUGACAAAGCUAGAAGACUGCACAUUGAGAGAUCUAGAAGAUAAAAAAUAAUUGUCACUGGACCAUUCUGAAAAGUGGGCACUGGAAAGAAAAUCGUCAAUACGUUGCUCUCCACUUUUUGCAGUAUGUGAACUAAGCUGUUAAGGAGCCGUAGCAGUGUCUACGUACCUUACCGAUUUCAUGUCACCUGCAAAUCUUUUUUCCAGACUGAAACAGAUGUGACGUCACACUGGUGAAUGCAAACAGUCUUGGACCUUUCUCUUUAUUACAGCUGUUUAGUACCUUAAGUACCGUAACUGUUACUUCUGCUUUGUAUCUACACUUGGAAAAUACUUUGUUUUACAUUUCAACAGAGGGUCAUAAAGGACUUGAUGAAGAGAACAUGCUAGAUUAACAAUAAAUU
rnacentral:lncRNA from 1 species